UCGUAACAAGGUCUCCGUUGGUGAACCAGCGGAGGGAUCAUUACAGAGUGUAAAAACUCCCAAACCCUUUGUGAACAUACCACUGUUGCCUCGGCGGAGCUACCCGGUAGCUAUCCUGUAGCUACCCUGUAGCCGCCGGCGGCCCAUCAAACUCUGAUUAUGUAGAUAUCUGAGCGUACUUUUAAAUAAGUCAAAACUUUCAACAACGGAUCUCUUGGUUCUGGCAUCGAUGAAGAACGCAGCGAAAUGCGAUAAGUAAUGUGAAUUGCAGAAUUCAGUGAAUCAUCGAAUCUUUGAACGCACAUUGCGCCCAUUAGUACUCUAGUGGGCAUGCCUGUUCGAGCGUCAUUACGACCCUUAAGCCUAGCUUAGUAUUGGGAACCUACGUGCGGCGGCUACCCUGUAGCCGCCCUGUAGCUCCUUAAAGACAACGGCGGAGACGUGGAGUCCUCUGAGCUUAGUAACUUUUUCUAGCUUCUGAAGGCCCCGCGGCCCCUGCCGCAAAACCCCAACUUUUAGUGGUUGACCUCGGAUCAGGUAGGAAUACCCGCUGAACUUAAGCAUAUCAAU
rnacentral:rRNA from 2 species